rnacentral:lncRNA from 1 species
UUUGACUAGUGAUCAAAAGAUCUCAAAAUUGACCAUUUUAAUGGCCGAUGUGGCGUGUUUGUGAGUUCAACGGUAUAAAACAAUCCAAAUCCGAUGAAAAUUUUAUAGAAAAUUCUUUUCACUAUUUAGAGUAAGAUCAGUAUAUCUGAUCUUGAAUUUAAAUCUUUUAUCAUCAUUUUUUAUGAGAUUUUUAUUUUCAGCCAUUCAAUUUUAGACUAUUUUUUGAUAGGUAAAUGAUAUCGAAAAAUUAUGAAAUUUAGUUUCCAAAUACUUUUAAUAGUGUAGAUCAAGUCUAAUGGAGCCGAUCAUCGAUUUGGAAGCCACAUCA